CUUGUUUCAGCAGUAGAUACACUAAAAUUGGAACGAUAGAGAGAAGAUUAGGAUGGCUCCUGCACAAGGAUAAAAUGCAAAUUUAUGAAGCAUUCUGGAUUUUA
rfam:Otolemur garnettii contig165338, whole genome shotgun sequence.